CCUACGUGAGGCAGCAGUCGAGAAUCAUUCACAAUGGGGGAAACCCUGAUGGUGCGACGCCGCGUGGGGGAAUGAAGGUCUUCGGAUUGUAAACCCCUGUCAUGUGGGAGCAAAUUAAACAGAUAGUACCACAAGAGGAAGAGACGGCUAACUCUGUGCCAGCAGCCGCGGUAAUACAGAGGUCUCAAGCGUGGUUCGGAAUCACUGGGCGUAAAGCGUGCGUAGAGUGUUUCGUAAGACGUGUGUGAAAGGCGCGGGCUCAACCCGCGGACGGGACAUGAAACUGCGAGACUAGAGUAGUGGGGGGGGAACCGGAAUUGUGGGUGUAGCAGUGAAAUGCGUAGAUAUCGAGAGGAACACUCGUGGCGAAGGCGGGUUCCUGGACAUUAACUGACGCUGAGGCACGAAGGCCAGGGGAGCGAAAGGGAUUAGAUACCCCGGGUAGUC
rnacentral:rRNA from 1 species